CAAACUAGAGCUUGGUGAAGCGUUUUAUUUACAUUAAAAAGAGUGCCUUAGGUUGGUGUGGUUUGA
rnacentral:tRNA from 1 species